rnacentral:rRNA from 1 species
GACGAACGCUGGCGGCGUGCUUAACACAUGCAAGUCGAACGAUGAACCCGGAGCUUGCUCCGGUGGAUUAGUGGCGAACGGGUGAGUAACACGUGAGUAACCUGCCCUUGACUCUGGGAUAACUGCGGGAAACUGUAGCUAAUACCGGAUACGACCCUCGGCGGCAUCGACAGGGGGCGGGAAGAAUUUCGGUCAAGGAUGGACUCGCGGCCUAUCAGCUAGUUGGGGAGGUAACGGCUCACCAAGGCGACGACGGGUAGCCGGCUUGAGAGGGUGACCGGCCACACUGGGACUGAGACACAGCCCAGACUCCCACGGGAGGCAGCAGUGGGGAAUAUUGCACAAUGGGCGCAAGCCAGAUGCAGCAACGCCGCGUGAGGGAUGACGGCCUUCGGGUUGUAAACCUCUUUUAGUAGGGAAGAUAAUGACUGUACCCACAGAAGAAGCCCCGGCUAACUCCGUGCCAGCCGCCGCGGUAA